AACCCCUGGCAAUGGGCAAAGAGACACCUUGGUGGUGGUGGUGUUCUUAUAUCAGCCAGGGCCAGAGCAGAUGGCAGUCCUUUGUUCAUCCUAGCUUGCCUUGGUGGCCAAAGCUGUUUCAUGCCUAGGGCACAUAA